rfam:Acidobacteria bacterium 13_1_40CM_3_56_11 13_1_40cm_3_scaffold_1544, whole genome shotgun sequence.
GUGAGCGUAGCUCAGCUGGUAGAGCGCUGGAUUGUGGCUCCAGUGGCCGUGGGUUCGAUCCCCAUCGCUCACC